UUGCAUGAUAUGUGAUUUUUCAAGUAAUUAUUGUUGUUUAAUCUUUCAAUAGCCAACAUUGGAUGCUCCUUGUCAUAUGUCCCUUGCCCGGGAUACUUUAUAUCUUCGAUUCUGCCAGCUAUCACAAACAGCGGAAGUUAAAGCUUAAAUUGCCUAUGAUAGCUGCUUUUAGGAGGUUUCGGAUGAGCGGCCACAGAGUUCGUCGAGAGAAGCUUUUGUGGAAAUAUGUUGAGUGCCCGCAACAACAAGGAGGCACGGAGUGCGGUUAUUUUGUGAUGCGGUAAAUUUUUG